AAAUGCCUGAAGUGAGCCAGCAAUUCUGUAACAAUCAUAACUAGAAUCUAGUUCUCAAGUUUUACCCAUUCAGACCUUGGUUCCUUCAGAUAUCGUACAUUCUAGCUCUGCUUGCAUAGUGUGAAAGAAAUUGGAUUGCUUACUGAAAAAUGAACCUGACCUGUCACAGCAAUUCUGGACUUACUUGGACUCCUGAUGUCAAUUCUGUUGUCAUAUGCAUUGAAGCUUCGCAAUGACAGGAGAUUAAACAAAUGGGAGGAGAAUUCCAGGAAAUGAAAAAGUCAUACGAAGAAGAGUUAUGUUCUACAGCCAAGCCCAAGUUAAAAAAUAAUCAACUGAACCUUCACAUUCUUUGAGUGCCUCUCUCGUUGGAGGACCAACUUCUGUCUUGAUGAAUGAAUCUCCUGGGAGAAGCAAUCCAUUUUUAUAAACAUUCUCAGAAGACAAUUUCAACUAUACCAGCUCUACUUCCAUAUUCAGUUCCCCUGCACAUCGGAGGAAAAAAAAAUCAAACUGUUCAGGUGAAACAGAAGACCAUCUAUUCUUCAGUAACCAAAGAAUCUAUACAAUUCUAGCAGAAUCAUCUUUCUUGAAAGGCUCAUAUGGUUUUAAAUAGCAAUUUUUCCCCUUGAUACUAAAUGUGUAAUAAUGGGAAAAAGAAUUAACCUUUCUGAAGCUACAAUGGAGUACACCUGAAGUAUCUUACUUUAUACUUUGUUGAAGAUUCUGUGUGUCCUCAAGGUCUACAGCAACCAUCAACCCGUAGAUCUCCCCAAAAAUCUUUGUCCUUGAACCAGUAGAACUUCUUUCUGCAUUAUAGGUGGUAAAAGAGCUUGAAUUCCCAAUAUAAAAGGCCAAAAGUCCAGGCUUUAAGAUUAUAGAAUCUGAGACUCUAGCUUAGAUUUAGGAUAUUUAAUAAGAUAAUUGACAGCUUCAAUAAGCAUACUAAAAUGAAACAAACUGCGUGGUACCAUGGGUAUAAUACAAACGUUAAAGGAUGAACACUUUUGGAUAUCAGGAUCUCACUGCAUUGCUGACAAUAUAUGCAACAACUUGUGACAGAGCCUGGCAACAUCAGCUCAGUUUCUCCGUUUUCUCAUUCAUGAAAUGGGGAAAACAGCUGCAAUUUCAUUACAUGGUUGCAGUGAGAGCUAAAUGGUUUAACUCAUAUAAAGUUUACGUGAGUGUCUGGUCUAUACUGUGUUCAAUAAUGUUAGCGAAAGUUGCUAUUGCUUUAAGGAAAAUGAGUCAAAAUGAUUGAUUUGCUAAAGGUCCCACAUCUAGUGAAAGUAAAACUAGAAUUUAAUCCCUGCUCUUUCCUUCUGUGCUAAAAUAUAAAACUAAAAUGUGGUCAGGGAUUGGGGGAGGGAUAUAACUGAAAAAUCACAGGUUCUUCAGCCACAGAGGCAACUAACAUAGGAUUAACAAACACUUUUCAAAUUCAUUUUACCAUUCUGUUUCCAUUAUGAUAAAAACAUAGACAAAGGAUAUAAAGUAGAACUUCUUCACAUACUCUGCUCACUAGCAUAUUGCUGUGUUAUCAUAUGCAACUUACUCUUGGGUAUUUUGAAAAUAAGUUUAAAAUCUAAAAUAUUCAGAAUCCAACUUCAUGUUCUCCCAUUUUCCUACAUAAACCAUCUGCUCUAUUCAAGCUAAAAUUAGUCAAUUAAUUAAUACGAUUUAUUGUCAGAAAUUCUUUGGUUCAUUUUUUUAACUGAAUGAAGUGUUAACCAUGUGCCAGCUUCUUUGCCAGAGUAUUGAGAUAUAAAUGUAUAUAAAGUAACAUUAUGUCCAUUGUAUAGGUGAAAACAAAAUGAGACAAGAAGAAUUUGUAAUUUGCUUUAAAGGCACAAGUAAUUGCUUAAAGAGGUUAUUGACAAAAGAGGUGUUUUACUCACACCUUAAAGAACAUAAAAAACUAAAUAACAAAAGGAUAUAAGCAACACCAUGAAAUACUUAGGAUGCUCCUAACACAGCUUUUAUAUAGUAUUGGUUCAUUUGAAAAGAAUUUGCUGGAUAGCAAUGACAUUUCGUUGACCUUAUGUGGUGCUCAUUGUGAAGGCGAAGGUUGGCAGCUUGGUUACUGCAUGAUUACUCUACUCUUCUAUAUUCUAUCCCAAUCUCUGACUCCACUUCCAUGUGGACUAUAGAAGUGUGCACACAAAAAUAGAAACUAUUUUCGUGGUAUUCUAGAAGGAAAGGCAGACCUGAAAAAAGUUCCUCAUAGAAGAUACCUCCCAAGUCUCUCACUGUCUGCUACUAGUAUUUUUUAAAGCUGUUCAUUGAGAAUACCGAUUCAGAGUUUUUGGGGGAGGUCCAGCUGCACUGAGGUACAAUUUAUAUACAAUAAAAUUCCACAUAUAUAACUCAAUGAGUCUUAGGGUCACAGAUCUCAUUUAUGAAUUUGAUCGAAUCCAGGAAGACUCUCCCUUUUAAAAAUGCACAUAUGGCCAAUAUUUUAUUUAAAAUCACAAAGACUUCACAGAUAUACUAAAGUUUAUCCAGGCACGCUCACAGAUAGAUCCUAAGAACCUCGAUCAAGAAAUAGCAAAGCACCUAAGGGAGUCAUAUUCAAGUAAAAAUUAUUUUCAGGUUAAACAGUUUACCCCUCAUCCUAUCAAUAGGAUAACGAGUAUUCUUUAAGCUCACUUUAUUGAGUAUUCAUUUGAUUUUAUAUAGAGAGUAUUCAAAAAAUUGGCAUAUGUAAUACCAAAAUGUAUAUUCAGAGUACACAUACAGGACACACUUUGCAUGCAUUCCACUUAAGGUUACUGCUUGCAAAAAAAAGACUUGUGUGGUCAGUGCUUUUCACAAUUCAAAUGUAUUAAUUUUAACUUUUUCUAGUAAAUAUAUUUAUAGUGGACGAUAUGUGAUAAUAAAAUUAAGAGUAACAACUGAAAGAAAACUAAUUUUUGUAAAAUAUCCAUCCAUCUAUUUGGGUAAUUCUUCUGCAAUUCCAU
rnacentral:lncRNA from 1 species